CGGGGUGCAGCAGGCGCGAAAACUUUACAAUGCGGGAAACCGUGAUAAGGGGACACCGAGUGCCAGCAUCAUAUGCUGGCUGUCCAGGUGUGUAAAAUACACCUGUUAGCAAGGGCCGGGCAAGACCGGUGCCAGCCGCCGCGGUAACACCGGCGGCCCGAGUGGUGAUCGUGAUUAUUGGGUCUAAAGGGUCCGUAGCCGGUUUGGUCGGUCCUCCGGGAAAUCUGAUAGCUUAACUAUUAGGCUUUCGGAGGAUACUGCCAGACUUGGAACCGGGAGAGGUAAGAGGUACUACAGGGGUAGGAGUGAAAUCUUGUAAUCCCUGUGGGACCACCUGUGGCGAAGGCGUCUUACCAGAACGGGUUCGACGGUGAGGGACGAAAGCUGGGGGCACGAACCGGAUUAGAUACCCGGGUAGUCCCAGCCGUAAACGAUGCUCGCUAGGUGUCAGGCAUGGCGCGACCGUGUCUGGUGCCGCAGGGAAGCCGUGAAGCGAGCCACCUGGGAAGUACGGCCGCAAGGCUGAAACUUAAAGGA
rnacentral:rRNA from 1 species